rnacentral:rRNA from 1 species
UGGGGAAUAUUGGACAAUGGGCGAAAGCCUGAUCCAGCCAUGCCGCGUGAGUGACGAAGGCCUUAGGGUUGUAAAACUCUUUCGUCGGGGACGAUAAUGACGGUACCCGAAGAAGAAGCUCCGGCUAACUUCGUGCCAGCAGCCGCGGUAAUACGAAGGGAGCUAGCGUUGUUCGGAAUCACUGGGCGUAAAGCGCACGUAGGCGGAUAGUUAAGUCAGGGGUGAAAUCCUGGGGCUCAACCCCAGAACCGCCUUUGAUACUGGCUGUCUCGAGGUCGAGAGAGGUUGGUGGAAUUCCUAGUGUAGAGGUGAAAUUCGUAGAUAUUGGGAAGAACACCAGUGGCGAAGGCGGCUAACUGGUCCGGUACUGACGCUGAGGUGCGAAAGCGUGGGGAGCAAACAGGAUUAGAUACCCUAGUAGUCCCUGAGCGGGCUGGCAAGGCGCAU